rnacentral:rRNA from 1 species
AUUGAACGCUGGCGGCAGGCCUAACACAUGCAAGUCGAACGAGUGGCGGACGGGUGAGUAAUGUCUGGGACACCGCCCGAUGGAGGGGGAUAACCACUGGAAACGGUCGCUAAUACCGCAUAACAUCGUAUGUGCCGAUAUGGGAUUAGCUAGUAGGUGGGGUAAAGGCUCACCUAGGCGACGAUCCCUAGCUGGUCUGAGAGGAUGACCAGCCACACUGGAACUGAGACACGGUCCAGACUCCUACGGGAGGCAGCAGUGGGGAAUAUUGCACAAUGGGCGCAAGCCUGAUGCAGCCAUGCCGCGUGUGUGAAGAAGGCCUUCGGGUUGUAAAGCACUUUCAGCGGGGAGGCGUUACCCGCAGAAGAAGCACCGGCUAACUCCGUGCCAGCAGCCGCGGUAAUUC